AAUCAACGCUGGCGGCGUGCCUAACACAUGCAAGUCGAGCGAGAAAAGGGGGGCAACUCCCUGAGUACAGCGGCGCACGGGUGAGUAACACGUGGGUAAUCUGCCCUGGAGUGGGGAAUAACACCGGGAAACCGGUGCUAAUACCGCAUACGAUAACGAGGUCUGCGGAUCUUGUUAUGAAAGGAGCAAUUCCCUCCAGGAGGAGCCCGCGGCUGAUUAGCUAGUUGGUGAGGUAAUGGCUCACCAAGGCUACGAUCAGUAUCCGGUCUGAGAGGACGGUCGGACACACUGGAACUGAGACACGGUCCAGACUCCUACGGGAGGCAGCAGCGGGGAAUUUUUGGCAAUGGGGGAAACCCUGACCAAGCAACGCCGCGUGGGUGAUGAAGUCUCUUGGGACGUAAAACCCUUUCGACGGGGAAGAAACCGCAAGGUUGACGGUACCCGUAGAAGAAGCCCCGGCUAACUCCGUGCCAGCCGCCGCUGUAACAC
rnacentral:rRNA from 1 species